UGCGUAGGUGGUUUAUUAAGUCGUAUGUGAAAACCCUGGGCUUAACCUAGGAAUUGCAUAUGAAACUGAUAGGCUAGAGUGCAGUAGAGGGAAGUGGAAUUUCCAGUGUAGCGGUGAAAUGCGUAGAUAUUGGAAGGAACAUCAGUGGCGAAGGCGACUUCCUGGACUGUUACUGACACUGAGGCACGAAAGCGUGGGGAGGCGAACA
rnacentral:rRNA from 1 species